ensembl:lincRNA
CGUGCCCGCCCCGGUCCCCCUGAGCCCUUGGCCCUCCCCGCCCCCACUACCCUUGUCCCCGGGUUGUCCCCGUCCCCUCCCCGCCACGGAUCCCCCCUCCAGCGUAUGCUGGGCCCAUUCCUCCCGCGGUUUGCUUCCCCCCGUUUCCUGCGUCUCUGCGGACCCCAUCUUGGGGUCCCCGGCUGGUCGGUGCCUUAUCACCCCACCCCUUUCUUCCCCCAUAGGAAGCCCUCCCCCCCAGCGCCUAUCUUUGUGGUGCCCUGCCUCACCCUCAUAGGAACCCCCCUAGCUCCCACAGAUUGACCCCUCCCCCACUCAGUGUUCCCUCGGGGGAGACAUCGCUCCUCUCGCGCCGCUGUAUUCCACUGUGUCCCCAGGCCUGGCCCGCCUUCUCGUUCGCUCUCGGGCCACCCAGCUCUCACCUGCCGCCCACCCCCUCCCCUCACCCAUCCUUCAGAAACCGGCACUGAGGGUCUGGCAGCAGCGGGUCCGGGAGUCUGGAGCCUUGCCCACGGCGGGUUGGUGUGGCACACAGAGUCGGAAAGAGCAGCCAGCCUGGGGUCCCGGUCUCGGAUACAGGGGAAGGCAGGCCAGCCAGUCUGUGCCCUGGGCGCUCCUCCUGCAGCGGGGGCUCCUGUCACCGGCAGAGCUACCCCCAUCCGGCUCAGGCAGAGCAGGGCGCAGGCCUUUGGUGCAGACCGAGCUCACCCUGAACAGGGCCGCUUGCAGACACAGAACUCCUAAACCCGCCUGGGCAGCCCCCUUAACCCCGGCACCCGGUUCCUUCUAAGUAGGUGUGAAGCCCAGGAAACCUUGACUGCCCGUCCUGCCCUAGGCAGCAGAGCUUCGAGGUUUAUCUCUGGGAUGGUCAGACUGUGUGCAGUCAGCUGGGUUGAUGCCCCUUAGGACCGGGUCGGGGUGGGGGACCCAGACCUUCUGCCCACCCCUGGUGACCUUCCUCUCUUUCCAGGAGAACAAGGGGUCUGUGGAAAUCAUGAGGAAGGACUUGAAUGAUGCCCGGGAUCUGCACGGCCAGGCGGAGUCGGCCGCCGCGGUGUGGAAGGGACACGUGAUGGACCGUAGGAAGAAGGCACUGACCGACUACAAGAAGCUACGGGCCUUCUUUGUGGAGGAGGAGGAGUACUUCCUUCAGGAGGCCGAGAAGGAGGAGGGGCUCCCCGAGGAUGAGCUGGCCGACCCCACCGAGCGCUUCAGGUCGCUGCUGCAGGCGGUGUCGGAGCUGGAGAAGAAGCACCGCAACCUGGGCCUCAGCAUGCUGCUGCAGGUGCGGGAGGCCAGGGCGGGCGCGGGCAGCAGCGGGGCCACCCCCGGGAGGCCAGGGCGGGCGCGGGCAGCAGGGAGCCGCUGGGAGCCGCUGCCCGAGGUCAAGGCUUCAAAACCCAGCCUGCCUCCCACUGCCCUAGCCUUGCAGGGCUGAAUUCUGGGGAUGGGUAGGUGGUCAAGGAAAGUGAUGAGAAGGGGUUUUAAGCUGAGGAGGGUCGAAGGUGUCCCUGACCCUGAGUGCCAGAGCACAGAAGGCUCCUGCCUCGCCCUGGGGUCCUGAAGGCAGAAGUGUCCAAGAAGCCUGGCUUCAGGGCUUUUCUUCAGCCUCUGCCCAGGGCCCGGCCCGAACCCCAGACCCCGCAGAAACCCAGACAGCUCUGAAUGGUUCAGUUGUCCGUGCUGGCCAUAGGUGACAAGGCUUUUGGCCCUGGGGAGACGAAGUGCGGGUCAGGCCCUGGGUUUGUUGUGCGCAGAACAGUAUGCCGAGCUCCCUCCUGUGAACGCUCUUUCUCUCCCCGCCUCGCCCCUCCCCCUCUCUCCCGCUCUCCCCCCUCCCCACUUGGCCUCUGUGUGUCUUUGUCUUUUUGUCUGUCUUGCCCUCUCCCCUCCCAUGCAGUGAUGGCACCAGCCCACUGCCAUCCCGGAGCUGGAGGCAGGCGGAUGGAUCCUCGUCUCUGUGGGAAGUGUCAGCGCGUGGCUGCGGGAGAAGUGUGGUGGGCACCCAGCCUUGGGUCCACCUGUGUAGUUGCGUGUUUCAACAAUGUCCAUUUAUCCUUCACCCCAAGGCGUGAGUGUUUUGGGGGCUGCAAACGCCUCCUGGUAGAGGCUGGACUUGGGGACCCUUCCCACCUGUGCCCGACCCCUCCUGAAGUCCUGGCCGCAGCCCAUCCUCCAUGAGUCCCGGCAGCCCCAGGCCAUGCCCUUCCUCAAUCACCCAUCGACCCCUCACCUUGUCAUCCAGGGACCCAGACCCUGCACCUUCCACGUGGGGCCCCAGAUUCUUGGCAGGUACGUGAGGCACACCCUUGAAGGUCAGAAACGAGAAUGCACACGAGGCCGUGAGAAGGCUGGAACACAGAUUGCAGGGAAGAGAAAGAAGGCUGGAUGGCACGUUGAUGCCUCCUGAGGAGGGGGCCCCCCUCUUAGGGUGGGUGUGGGCCCUGCCCAGCCUCAUCCCCGCCUCCCUCCCGAGUCCCCUCCCCGCUCUGGCUCCUGGGAGCCCUCCCUGUGCUCCACCUGCCUCUGCAGAAGGGACCCUCUUCUCCCCGGGUGAGGGGCUGGCAGGUGGCCGACCCAUUUAGCGUCUCCGGGCGCUGCGCUGGUGUCUCAUCUUGCUGUUCUCUCUGGCUCUCUCUCAUUUCCUUUAGUCGUUGAAUUUUGCAAAGCUCGUAGCAGUAGCUCAAUUGCCUGCAGCAUCCUUGUGUGUAGAUAAAUUAGUCUAAUUGACAGAAACUCAGCACUGGGGACAGGAUUGCAAAGCCGGGGACAUAGAUGCAGACAGCUGUUGAGAUGUGGGGCCAGCUGGGCCUGUGAGUGGGGGCCUGUUUCCAGAAGCCUUUCAUCCUUCCCAUCCCCGGCCUUGGUGCGACGUCUGUGAGUUUGACCUGCCCAGCGCCUGGGCUGGCUCCGUGCUGAAUAAAGUGGGUUUGCUUCAGCCCGUUUGCGUCGUCUCCGUGUGUCCACGUGGCCUCUUCCCCCUGUCCCGGCCACCCUCCGCUGUUAAAGGAAUAUUCCUCCUGACACUUGUUAAAGUGUGGUGAGGAGGAUUUCACGGGGCCCAUCGAGAUGGCUGUGGAGCCCUUGCCUUGGGGCCUUGGGAGAGAUGGGGCUCCACCCCCACACAGCAGGACAGGGUGGGUGGAGAUGCCAAGGGGCAGGGUGGGGUCGGUGGGUGGGAAUGACUAAGAGGAGAUACGAGGGGUAAGUGCUCUGGCUAAACCCACCUCACCAGAUCCUUGCUGCAGGCGGGCAGGGUGAUCAGCUGUCGGCUGCAAACGAUCUGAUAGGAACCCGGUCAGGUACCAUUGAGGGUGGUUAGUUAAACCAAAUCAGGGUUCUUGCUAAAACUGGCUUUUGUAAGAAAGUGCACAGAGAGGGCCCUGGGAGAAGGUUCCAGAGCCUGGCUAGAGUUUGGCCAACCAGAGAAUCUCUGUCAGCACACCAACAACCUCCCGACCCUGAGACCUCAAGUUUGUUCUCAGCAUCUCUGCCCACUGCAGUCCGCUGUUGUCCCCAGUGCCCGUUCUACCCUGCCCUGUACACCUGCGAUGCUUACCCAGCCAGGCCCUCAUGACAGAGUCCCCCACAACACCAAACUCCACAUCACCAGGUCCUGAUGACAGAGUCCCCCACACCAAACUCCACGUCACCAGGUCCUGAUGACAAGAGUCCCCACAACACCAAACUCUGUAUCACCAGGACCUGACAACAGAGUCCCCCACACCAAACUCCACAUCACCAGGACCUGAUGACAGAGCCCCCCACACCAAACGCCACAUCACCAGGACCUGAUUACAGUCCCCCACACCACCAAACUCCACAUCACUAGGUCCUGAUGACAGAGUCCCCCACACCAAACUCCGCAUCACCAGGUCCUGAUGACAGAGUCCCCCACAACACCAAACUCUCCAUAUCACCAGGUGUGAGUGGCUUUACCGUCCUCACCUAGCCAACCAACAACAUCCCACCCUGUCAAUCACAACCUCUUUCUGUUUAAAACAAUGAUAUAUUUAUGGGGCACAAUGUGAUGCUUUGAUACCUGUGUACGCUGUGGAGUGGCAGAGUCAAGCAGAUGAAUGUAUCCACCUCACGUCUUUUGUGGUAAGAACAUUUGACAUCUGUGCUUGGCAGUUUCAGAUACAGUCACCCCUCAGUCUGAGGGGAAUUGGUCCCAGGACCCCGUUGUCGAUACCAAAAUGCACGGACGCUCAAGUGCCUCUGCAGGAUGUGGGACACAUACAGAGGCUGCGUGCACACAGCACACGGUUGUCCUCUGAAGUCGCCGUGCUGCGCAAAGGCCCUGAGUUCUUGUGAACAGGAACUCUGUACCCUCUGACCAGAAUUGCUCCAGAUCCCCUGUCCCAGCCCUUGCUAACUGCUGCUCUCUGUGUCUUUCGGAAAAUCAACAUUUUGAUUCCGCAUGUGAGAUCAUAAGAUAUUUGUCCUGUUCCCCGCUCAUUUCACUUAAUAUACUCCAGAUUCACCCAAGUAGCAAACGGCAGUUUUCCUUUUUAUAGCCGAAUAGUAUUCCACUGUGUGUAUCCACCUUAUCCCUUUAUCCACUGGCUUCUAGACCACCAAGGUUGAUUCCAUAUCUUGGCUGCUGUGAAAGUGCUGUAAGAAACAGAAGUGUGGGUAUCUCUUCCACUUAUUCAUGUCAUUUCCUUUGGGAAAAUGCUUAGUACCGAGUACCAGCUCAGCCGGGGAGACCCCACCCAGGCAGCGCUGAAGACAGUGAGAGGCAGACACACAGAACAGCGAAGUGGAUCUAUCUGGGGGGAGCAGCCUACCCCGCUGAGAGCCUCAGGGCUGACGCAUUCCAGGCUGAAGGCUCCGAGCAGAUUCUCAUCCACAUGGUCUCUCUCAACAGGUGAUUAUUAUUAACAAACAGGUGUUCUGUAUUUUCUCCUAACUCAUAAAUAUACAGUAGGCAGCUGUUACCGGCUUACCACUGACUACAGACAAACUCAAAGGCAUUCUCCAAGAGGGAGCCCCGGGGCAGGACCAGAUAUCUCAAAGCAUUGUUUUAACCGGUCAAUGAUAUUUCUACGUCGUCCUGCCACUUUGGAACGCCCCAAAUGCCUUUCCACUUGGGGAGGGGUCGGCUAGCUUUUCCUUGCCAUCGUUCUUCCUAGCAAGCAGUAUGUUCUAUCAUACACUCAGCGUUCAUCAAUAUUCAUAAACUCAGUAUUUCUCAAUAGCUUAGUGGUAGAAUUGCUGGGUCACAAUUCUAAUUUUUUCAGUAACCUCCAUAUGCUUCUCCAUGAUGGCUGUAUAAUUUACAUUCUCGCCAACACUGUAGCCUUUGAAAUGAGCCAUUCUGCUCCCAAGCUGCCCCUGCCUCCUUUCCUCUCCUCUCCUU